rnacentral:misc_RNA from 1 species
GAUGAAGAACGUAGUGAAAUGCGAUAAGUAAUGUGAAUUGCAGAAUUCAGUGAAUCAUCGAAUCUUUGAACGCACAUUGCGCCCAUUAGUAUUCUAGUGGGCAUGCCUGUUCGAGCGUCAUUAAGUCCACUUAAGCCCUGCUUAGUGUUGGGAGACUGCUCCAGCGGUGCUACCCUGUAGCUACCCUGCAGCUCCUCAAAGACAGCGGCGGAGUUGUGGUAUCCUCUGAGCUUAGUAACUUGUUCUAGCUUUCGAGUACACCACUUCCCCUGCCGUAAAACCCUUAAUUUUUAAUGGUUGACCUCGGAUCAGGUAGGGAUACCCGCUGAACUUAAGCAUAUCAAUAAGCGGAGGA